UCUACGGGGUGCAGCAGUGGGGGAUAUUGCACAAUGGGGGAAACCCUGAUGCAGCGACGCCGCGUGAGUGAAGCAGUAUUUCGGUAUGUAAAGCUCUAUCAGCAGGGAAGAAAAAAGACGGUACCUGACUAAGAAGCCCCGGCUAACUACGUGCAAGCAGCCGCGGUAAUACGUAGGGGGCAAGCGUUAUCCGGAUUUACUGGGGGUAAAGGGAGCGGAGACGGCAAUACAAUUCGGAAGUGAAAUAGCCGGGCUCAACCUGGGAACUGCUUUGGAAACUGUAUGGCUAGAGUGCUGGAGAGGUAAGAGGAAGUCGCAGUGUAGCGGUGAAAUGCGGAGAUAGUAGGAGGAACACCAGUGGCGAAGGCGGCUUACUGGACAGUAACUGACGUUGAGGCUCGAAAGCGUGGGGAGCAAACAGGAUUAGAUACCCUUGUAGUC
rnacentral:rRNA from 1 species